ensembl:snRNA U2 U2 spliceosomal RNA
AUCACUUCUUGGCCUUUUGGUUAAGAUCAAGUGUAGAAUCUGUUCUUAACAGUUUAAUAUGCUGAUACGUCCUUUAUCUGAGGACAACAUAGUAAAUGGAUAUUUUGAGCAGGGAGAUGGAAUAGGAGCUUGCUCCAUCCACCCCACACAUGGACCUGGUAUUGCAGUACCUCCAGGAAUGUUCAACCCUC